rnacentral:rRNA from 1 species
AUUGAACGCUGGCGGCAGGCCUAACACAUGCAAGUCGAACGGUAACAGGAAGAAGCUUGCUUCUUUGCUGACGAGUGGCGGACGGGUGAGUAAUGUCUGGGAAACUGCCUGAUGGAGGGGGAUAACUACUGGAAACGGUAGCUAAUACCGCAUAACGUCGCAAGCCCAAAGAGGGGGACCUUCGGGCCUCUUGCCAUCGGAUGUGCCCAGAUGGGAUUAGCUAGUAGGUGGGGUAACGGCUUACCUAGGCGACGAUCCGUAGCCGGUCUGAGAGGGUGAACAGCCACACUGGAACUGAGACACGGUCCAGACUCCUACGGGAGGCAGCAGUGGGGAAUAUUGCACAAUGGGCGCAAGCCUGAUGCAGCCAUGCCGCGUGUAUGAAGAAGGCCUUCGGGUUGUAAAGUACUUUCAGCGGGGAGGAAGGGAGUAAAGUUAAUACCUUUGCUCAUUGACGUUACCCGCAGAAGAAGCACCGGCUAACUCCGUG